rnacentral:rRNA from 1 species
UAAAAAUUUAAUUUAAAAUAUUUAAGUAGUAUUAGUUAAGUUCUUUAAAUUUAAAAAAUUUGGCGGUAUUUUAGUCUAUUCAGAGGAACCUGUUUUUUAAUCGAUAGUCCACGAUGGACCUUACUUAAAUUUGUUUUUAGUUUAUAUAUCGUCGUUAAAAGAAUAUUUUAUAAGAAUAAUAAUUUUCUUAAUUUUUAAUUUUAAAAUAUAUCAGAUCAAGAUGUAGCUUAUGUUUAAGUUUAUAAUGGGUUACAAUUAUUAUAUUACUGGAAAUUAAUAUGUAAUUUAUUAUUUGAAAUUGGAUUUGAUAGUAAAUUUAUAUAGAU